UGGAGAAGGGUUCCAUGAGAACAGUAUUUGGUCAUGGGUUACUCGGUCCUAAGGCAUAGGUUAACUCCUUUAUCCAAGUGCUAUCAGCACGAUGCCGAAAGGGAAUCAGGUUUAUAUUCCUGAAGCUGGACGAGGUGUUUCGCGGCAACGCAAGCGAGCUCGGAGACGUCAGCGUGAACUCCUGGAAGAAUUUUCUUUUCUUUUUAACUGGUUAUCGCCCUGGAAUUGGAUUAUCCAGAGAGAGGGCUUCAAAUCAGGAAGAGCAGCCUACUUUUUGGGCUGUCAGGUGCGUUCAUGAUGAUCAGUGAAAAUCCGGGGGAGGUGUACUUCUCGCCAGUCCGUACCAACAACCGCAUCAGGUCUCCUAGGUUAGCAGCCUCUGGUCGAUAGAAUAAUGUAGAUAAGGGAAUUCGGCAAAUUAGAUC
rnacentral:ncRNA from 1 species